rnacentral:rRNA from 1 species
GUUUGAUCCUGGCUCAGGAUGAACGCUAGCGGCAGGCCUAAUACAUGCAAGUCGAACGGUGUCUUCGGACAUAGUGGCGCACGGGUGCGUAACACGUAUGCAACCUACCUUACAUUGGGGGAUAGCCUUUCGAAAGGGAGAUUAAUACCGCAUAAGACAGUAGCUGGGCAUCCAGCAGCUGUUAAAGAUUUAUCGAUGUAAGAUGGGCAUGCGACCAAUUAGUUAGUUGGCGAGGUAACGGCUCACCAAGACUAUGAUUGGUAGGGGAACUGAGAGGUCAAUCCCCCACACUGGCACUGAGAUACGGGCCAGACUCCUACGGGAGGCAGCAGUAGGGAAUAUUGGGCAAUGGACGCAAGUCUGACCCAGCCAUGCCGCGUGCAGGAUGAAGGCGUUAUGCGUCGUAAACUGCUUUUAUACAGGAAGAAACGACUCUUGCGAGAGGCAUUGACGGUACUGUAUGAAUAAGCACCGGCUAACUCCGUGCCAGCAGCCGCGGUAAUACGGAGGGUGCAAGCGCUGUCCGGAUUUAUUGGGUUUAAAGGGUGCGCAGGUGGUUUAUUAAGUCAGUGGUGAAAGACGGUCGCUCAACGAUUGCAGUGCCAUUGAAACUAGUAGACUUGAGUAAAGUAGAGGUGGGCGGAAUUGAUAGUGUAGCGGUGAAAUGCAUAGAUAUUAUCAAGAACUCCAAUUGCGUAGCAGCUCACUUGGCUUUUACUGACACUCAUGCACGAAGGUGUGGGUAUCAAACAGGAUUAGAUACCCUGGUAGUCCACACUGUAAACGAUGAUAACUAGGUGUCGGCCGAAUCUGGUCGGUGCCACAGCGAAAGCGUUAAGUUAUCCACCUGGGGAGUACGCCGGCACGGUGAAACUCAAAGGAAUUGACGGGGUCCGCANAAGCGGUGG